GAGCAUGCUGUUUAUUCUUUAUCAACGUGAGGAAAGUCCACUCCAUUCCUUGUUUAUUGAGUGUUUUUAUCAUGAACUGAUGUUGGAUUUUAUCAAAUGCUUUUUCUGGAUCCAUUGAUACGAUCAGGUGAGGAGCAGGUGGUCUAAUUUCCACCUGUUUGUGAAGAUUACAAUUUUCCUCCUGUUAUUCAUUUCUAGUUUUGUACUAUUAUGGUUGGAAAAGAUAUAUGAUAGAUGUCAAUCUUCUUAAAUUUGUUGAGGCUUGGUUUGUGGCUGCUGUAGUCAAAAUUCAUAUGUUGAGACUUAAUCCCCAUUAUGACAGUAUGAGGAGGAGGGGCCUUUAUGAGGUGAUAAGUCAUGAGGGAUUUGCCCUCACAAAUGGGAUUAGUGCCAUUACAAAAAAAGGUUGAGGGGAGCUGCCUUCUCCUGCUAUGUGAGGGUGUGGCAAGAGGAGUCGUCUGUGAAGCAAAGUGACGAUUUCAUCAGACACUGAAUCUCCUGGGGACUUAAUCUUGGAGUUUCCAGGCUCCAGAACUGUUUUCAGGUGCUGGUCUCAUGGCUCUUUCCCAGCUCAAAAUAAGAAAACUCUACAGACACUCCAUCCACUAGAACCCAUUCCCAUCUACCCCCUACUCUGUCCAGCAACCAAAACUGAAAUCAGAGAGGAGGCAUAUGGAUGUGAUCUGUGCAGAGAAGAUAACAAGGAUGCUCUGCAGCUAUAGCCGCACAUGGCUUGGGAUGACCGUAUUAUGACAGGCAUAGAAUGUUUCAUUAUCUUGGAGGGUUCUACUGGACAGUAUCACCAUUAGUUGUCCAUACUCGCAGAGAAGUCCUUGCCUCUCCGUUACAAACACUGGCUAACCAAUCUGCAUGUGUGUAUCUCGAGGAUCUUGGGGUAUCUGAAAGACUCAAAGCUAUAAUUCCCACGUGUUGUGAGAGGGACCCAGUGGGAGAAGUGACUUUCACCUCCUCCUGUGAUUCUGAGGCCUCCCCAGCCAUGUGGAACUCCAGAUGA
rnacentral:lncRNA from 13 species